rnacentral:rRNA from 1 species
AUUGAACGCUGGCGGCAGGCCUAACACAUGCAAGUCGAACGAGUGGCGGACGGGUGAGUAAUGUCUGGGAAACUGCCUGAUGGAGGGGGAUAACUACUGGAAAAGGUAGCUAAUACCGCAUACCAUCAGAUGUGCCCAGAUGGGAUUAGCUUGUUGGUGGGGUAACGGCUCACCAAGGCAACGAACCCUAGCUGGUCUGAGAGGAUGACAAGCAACAAUGGAACGGAGAAACGGUCCAGACUCCUACGGGAGGCAGCAGUGGGGAAUAUUGCACAUUUGGCGCAAGUCUGCUCGAGCCAUGCCGCGUGUAUGAAGAAGGCCUUCGGUUUGUAAAGUACUUUCGGCAGAGAGGCGUUACCGGCAGAAGAAGCACCGGCUAACUACGUGCCAGCAGCCGCGGUAAUAC